AGCCCACUCUAUGGAUCAAUGGGCGGACUGGGAAGCCUCUACAGUAUACCCUCCACUGCACCACUGCACCAGGAAACAAGCCAAUAAGAAAAGAUGGGAAAACCCUCACACACUGUACAGAGGAUAUUUGAACGCCCUGGGACCAUGCCUCAGGACUACCUGGCCUGACGACUCCUAGCUGUCCCCAGUCCACCUGGUUGUGCUGGUGCUCCAGUUUGCCUGGUCUGCCUGCAGCUAUGGAACCCUGACCAGUUCACUGAACGUGCUACCUUGUCCCGUACCUGCUGUUUUUGGACUCUAUUUCUCUAUGGCACCUGCUGUCUCUAACUCUGAAAGCUCAGCUAUGAAAAGCCAACUGAAAUGUACUCCUGUGGCUCUGACCUGUUGCACCCUUUACAACCACUGUGAUAAUUAUUAUUUGACCCUGCUGGUCAUCUAUGAACGUUUGAACAUCUUGGCCAUGUACUGUUAUAAUCUCCACCCGGCACAGCCAGAAGAGGACUGGCCACCCCUCAGAGUCUGGUUCCUCUCUUGGUUUCUUCCUAGGUUUCUGCAUUUCUAGGAAGUUUUUCCUAGCCACGUGCUUCUACAUCUGCAUUGCUUGCUGGGGUUUGGGGUUUUAGGCUGGGUAUCUGUAUAGCCCUUUGUGAUGUAACAAGGGCUUUAUAAAUAACAUUUGAUUGAUUGAUUUGGUAAGAUACCAAGUCCAUAUUAUGGCAAGAACAACUCAAAUAAGCAAACAGAAACGACAGUUCAUCAUUACGUUAAGACAUGAAGGUCAGGCAAUACGGAACAUUUCAAGAACUUUGAAUGUUUCUUCAAGUGCUGUCGCAAAAACCAUCAAGCUCUAUGAUGAAACUGGCUCUCAUGAGGCCCGCCACAGGAAAGGAAGACAGAGUUACCUCUGCUGCAGUGGAUAAUUUCAUUAGAGUUACCAGCCUCAGAAAUUGCUGCCCAAAUAAAUGCUUCAGUAGAUGUUCAAGUAACAGACACAUCUCAACAUCAACUGUUCAGAGGAGACUGCAAGAAUCAGGCCUUCAUGGUCAAAUUGCUGCAAAGAAACUACGACUAAAGGACACCAAUAAGAAGAAGAGACUUGCUUUGGCCAAGAACCAAGAGCAAUAGACAUUAGAUGGUGGAAAUCUAUCCUUUGGUCUGAUGAGUACAAAUUUGAGAUUUUUAGUUCCAACCUCUGUCUUUGUGAGACGCGGAGUAGGUGAACGGAUGAUCUCUGCAUGUGUGGUUCCCACGUAAAGCAUGGAGGAGGAGGUGUGAUGAUUUGUGGGUGCUUUGCUGGUGACACUGUCAGUGAUUUAUUUCAAAUUCAAGGCACACUUAACCAGCAUGGCUACCACAGGAUUCUUCAGCGAUACGCCAACCCAUCUGGUUUGCGCUUAGUGGGACUAUUAUUUGAUUUUCAACAGGACAAUGACCCAACGUUGUCCUGUUGGUGUGCUGCGUCAGAUGACCUGGCCUCCACAAUCACCCGACCUCAACCCAAUUGAGAUGGUUUGGGAUGAGUUGGACCGCAGAGUGAAGGAAAAGCAGCCAACAAGUGCUCAGCAUAUGUGGGAACUUCAAGACUGUUGGAAAAGCAUUACAGGUGAAGAUGGUUGAGAGAAUGCCAAGAGUGUGCAAAGCUAUCAUCAAGGCAAAGGGUGGCUACUUUCAAUAAUCUCAAAUAUAAAAUAUAUUUGGAUUUGUUUAACACUAUUGGUUACUACAUGAAUCCAUAUGUGUUAUUUCAUAGUUGUGAUGUUCUGACAAUUAUUCUACAAUGUAGAAAAUAGAAAAAAUAAAGAAAAAACUUUGAAUGAG